rnacentral:lncRNA from 1 species
GGGCACGUGAGGCUUUUGGCCUUAAUCUUAGGUGUUAUUAUUUUGCAGGUGCAUUUUUGUCAAAUAAAAAAUAACAGAAAUUUGCAUCCACAACAACAUACAAGACAAUACUACAACAACCAGCUCAACCCCCUUAAUGUGUUUUUGCUGAGCUUGUCGACGUGAUUGAUGGAACUAACUCCCCCUUAAUGUGUUUUUGCUGAGCUUGUCGACAUGAUUGAUGGAACUAACUAACGUGUUUAUUAAGAGAUGUGCAUCCAAUAUUCCAGAGUUUGAUAUUAUAAGCAAGGGAAAUUUAAGAUCAGUUGCGUUGGCGCUCAUGGGGGUGAUGUAUUGAUCUUAUCACUCUUCUAUGAAUAAUUAUUAGUAAUAAUGUCAUUUUAUGUUUUUGUUUUGGGAUGAGCUAAGAUACAUACGCCUCGUCUAGUCUUUAAUUAGGAUUGAAUUAGAAUGAUAACUCAUAAAAUUCAAAGUAUAUUAAAUGCCAAGAUGAAUGAUUUUUCUUUUUUUUUUUUACUAGAAGGGGAUUAGAUAUAAAGAAAUUUCUCCCUUAUGAUCCUCUUAUUUUGAGGAGAGAUUUUUCAAUAUACCGAAAACAUGGUUCAGUACCCAAUCGUCAUAAUAUACAAGUGAUUUGAUAUUUGAAAAAAAUUUCAACCAUUUAUAUUAUGACAUUUAGUGUAACAUGCCGUGUUUUUAGUACAUUGAAAAUUUUCUCUAUUUUGAGGGGUUUGGAAACAACAAGUUUCCUUAAGUAAUUCAUCUGCUACUUACCAAACAAUUUUUUUUUCAUGUUUUCCUUCAACAUACCUUUGUAUUGUGAGUUCAAUCCUAAGGAUUAAACCAGGCCGUAGUAUAAUUAUUUUUGUCACGGUAAUUAAUUACAUUUGGAGUUGAUUAUAACUCCUAACAUAAAUUAACUUCAUCUUCAAUAGAUGUGAGUAUCAAUGACAUAAUAAUCCAUCAGAACCAUACUUGGCAGUUGGCACUUCCCUGUGAAUUAGCCGUUGUUUUCAAUAGCACAGAGAGUACACAAAACCAAUACUUUGGAAAUUAUUUAUUUAUUUAUUUAUUUAUUUUGCACAUAAACUCCGCCGUGUAAGUUUAU